AGCAGCCGCGGUAAUUCCAGCUCCAAUAGCGUAUAUUAAAGUUGUUGCAGUUAAAAGCUCGUAGUUGAAUUUCGGGAUUGGCGCAUCGGUCGUGCCUCACGGGGUAUGAACUGGUGCAGUCAAUUUCCCACCUUCUGGAGAACCGCGAUGUCCUUAAUUGGAUGCCGUGGGGAACCAGGACCUUUACUUUAGAAAAAUUAGAGUGUUUAAAGCAGGCAUUUUUGCUUGAAUACAUUAGCAUGGAAUAAUAAAAUAGGACGGCAUGGUUCUAUUUUGUUGGUUUCUAGGACCACCGUAAUGAUUAAUAGGGAUAGUUGGGGGCAUUAGUAUUCAAUUGUCAGAGGUGAAAUUCUUGGAUUUAUUGAAGACUAACUACUGCGAAAGCAUUUGCCAAGGAUGUUUUCAUUAAUCAAGAACGAAAGUUAGGGAUCGAAGACGAUCAGAUACCGUCGUAGUCUUAACCAUAAACUAUGCCGACUAGGAAUCAGACGAUGUUUAAUUUUUUAAUGUACUUCGUUUU
rnacentral:misc_RNA from 1 species